AUUGAACGCUGGCGGCAUGCCUUACACAUACAAGUCGAACGGCAGCACGGGAGCAAUCCUGGUGGCGAGUGGCGAACGGGUGAGUAAAGUAUCGGAACGUGCCCAGUCGUGGGGGAUAACGUAGCGAAAGUUACGCUAAUACCGCAUACGAUCUAUGGGUGAAAGCGGGGGAUCGCAAGACCUCGCGCGAUUGGAGCGGCCGAUAUCAGAUUAGGUAGUUGGUGGGGUAAAGGCUCAACAAGCCGACGAUCUGUAGCUGGUCUGAGAGGACGACCAGCCACACUGGGACUGAGACACGGCCCAGACUCCUACGGGAGGCAGCAGUGGGGAAUUUUGGACAAUGGGCGAAAGCCUGAUCCAGCCAUGCCGCGUGCAGGAUGAAGGCCUUCGGGUUGUAAACUGCUUUUGUACGGAACGAAAAGGUUUGGCCUAAUAAGCUGAGCUCAUGACGGUACCGUAAGAAUAAGCACCGGCUAACUACGUGCCAGCCGCCGCAGUAA
rnacentral:rRNA from 1 species